rnacentral:misc_RNA from 1 species
AAGGAUCAUUAACACGUUUCGUUCCGAACGUUUUCUGACCUCUUUUCUUUUUAUCCGUGCACAAUUUAAAACCCGGUACCUUGAUGUUUCUGUUUGUCUCUCUGGUUGAGUCUCUCGACUGUGAGACGAACGAGCAUCCUUGUGCCACUUUUUCACCCAACCUUGAAUCUAAUUGUUCUGAACUUUUAGUUGAUGGGAAACUGUCAACGAAUAAAAAACUAAACAACAACUCUUAACAACGGAUAUCUUGGUUCUC